UACGUAGGGUGCAAGCGUUAAUCGGAAUUACUGGGACGUAAAGCGUGCGCAGGCGGUUUUGUAAGUCUGUCGUGAAAUCCCCCGGGGCUCAACCCUGGGAACUUGCGAAUGGAGACUGCAAGGCUAGAAUCUGGCAGAGGGGGGUAGAAUUCCACGUGUAGCAGUGAAAUGACGUAGAGAUGUGGAGGAACACCGAUGGCGAAGGCAGCCCCCUGGGUCAAGAUUGACGCUCAUGCACGAAGCGUGGGGAGCAACAAGG
rnacentral:rRNA from 1 species